UGUCAACCGCAACCUCAAACCUGAUCGU
rnacentral:piRNA from 1 species